UAGGGAAUCUUCCGCAAUGGGCGAAAGCCUGACGGAGCAACGCCGCGUGAGUGAUGAAGGUCUUCGGAUCGUAAAACUCUGUUAUUAGGGAAGAACAAAUGUGUAAUUAACUAUGCACGUCUUGACGGUACCUAAUCAGAAAGCCACGGCUAACUACGUGCCAGCAGCCGCGGUAAUACGUAGGUGGCAAGCGUUAUCCGGAAUUAUUGGGCGUAAAGCGCGCGUAGGCGGUUUUUUAAGUCUGAUGUGAAAGCCCACGGCUCAACCGUGGAGGGUCAUUGGAAACUGGAAAACUUGAGUGCAGAAGAGGAAAGUGGAAUUCCAUGUGUAGCGGUGAAAUGCGCAGAGAUAUGGAGGAACACCAGUGGCGAAGGCGACUUUCUGGUCUGUAACUGACGCUGAUGUGCGAAAGCGGGGGGAUCAAACAGG
rnacentral:rRNA from 1 species